GGGAGCGGAUGGGGCCUGGUGGCUCCUGCGGUCUUCAACACCGUUGGCGGCAACCCUGCGGUUGGCGCGGUGGGUUCGACUCCCUCUCGCUCCCGCCA
rnacentral:tRNA from 1 species